rfam:Trichobilharzia regenti genome assembly, scaffold: TRE_scaffold0019450
GUACAUCUGGAGAGUCCCAGACUAGGACGAAACAGCUGUCCAGUAC